GGAGGCGGGACCAGGAUCCGAUUCCGGGUCAGGAGCUGCCGGCAGCGACUUCCUUUAACGAGUGACCCGUCCGGCUUGUUCCCGGAGCGGGCGUGGUGACGAGGUCUAAAUAUGGGUAAGAAUUCACUGAACCAGAUGCGGUGGCCGCGCAGUCCCUCCCGCCGCACCCCCCCGUCGGGGAAUUUCUAAGAGCUGGAGGAGUAUACCUGAUAUCUACCAGCUACUUUCUUGAAAUAUUCCCAACGCUGAAGCGAACUGUGAUACUUCUGGAAGCCUUGUUGAAGGUCAUCAUGCAUUGGUGAUGGGUCAUUAAGGAACACGCUCAUUUAGAGCACAUCAGUGAACAACUCAGUUUUCAAAAAUGUGGCCAAAGAGAAGCAAACCAAAAAAAAACCCACUGCCGUCGAGUUGGUUCCGACUCAUAGUGACCCUACAGGACAGAGUAGAACUGCCUGUCAGAGUUUCCAAGGAGCGCCUGGCGGAUUUGAACUGCUGACCUCUUGCUUAGCAGCUGUAGCACUUAACCACUAUGCCACCAGGGUUUCCAAGAGAAGCAAAGAAACCAUAUAAUGUAAAGUCUGUGUCAAAGUUCGUUAAUUUAGAUCCCAUAUACCCAGAACUGAUGACAGUUUAACUUUUAUAUGCUUAGAACAGAGUCUGAUAAAUACAUAGCCACCAUAAAUAUUUGUUGAUUGAUAGAAAUUAUAAUAAAACUGUUUUUGGGUCUCUCAUAAGGAAAAGUACAUACAAAUAAUCAAUACCCUACCGCAAAGUGUUUUAGAGACCUUGUUACUGUAUAUACAAGUAAUAAAAAUUCAUUUAUUUUAAAAUGUGCAGUAAUUCAAAAGGAUUCCCCCCAUUAGCUUGAGCUGAGCCUUUAUUAUAAAGAGGUUAUGGUCUAACAGGUGAAGAAGGUGAACUGAAUACAGAUGGUUACUUUUGUUCCCUCCAAACCCCACAAAAACGAUAAAGGUUUUUGAAAAAGGUAUAAAAAAGAACCAGAGAGGAGACAACACCACAACUUUCCUGGAAAUCAGUGGGGAGAGGUAACUGAGUGAGACCCUUGAAAGCUGAAUCUUAAGGUGUCAGUAAGAAAAGCUAAAAAGCAACUCAAUUUACACCUCAGAACAUCAUCUCCCCAAAGGCUUAGGAAUAGGUGACACCAGGUAUCUCUGGAGUAUGUGUGUGUGUGUUUAGGGGUGGGGUGGUGGUGAGGCUGAAAUUAAAAACAGGAGGAUUGGUUCAAAGUCUCUUUAAGAAGCAGUUAGCUCCAGAUUCCUGCACUUACUCUGUACAGCUAGGUGACUGCUCUUCCUUUUUCCUGGCAGAAGAAACCUGAAUUAUUAUCUGGGCAGAGUAAGAGUCUCUGGUAACAGGCACAGGUGCAAAAGAGGGUAUUAAUGGAGCACUGAUGUACGGAAUACCAAGAUCCAGCCACCCUUCCCCAUUUCUAUGCUCUUCCAUGGCCACCCCAGGCAGGAGACUGAAGAUUCCUGUCUGGAGCAUCUGACCAGAUGUUCUAGGCUCUAGGAACAGAUCAGUGACUAAACAAAGAUCCCUAGGCAAGUGGGAUUUUCAUUCUAGCAAAGAUCUAGAGAAACUGACCUCAGAGAUUCCCCAAUAAAAUGGCCCAGCCAGAUUACUCUGCAGUAAAGAAAUCUCAGCAGUGUGUACAGAACUUCCAGUAAGUUUAGUACUCUAUUCUUAAAUAUAAGUAACAAAUAAAAAAUUACCAGACAUACGAGGAAAGCCUCUAAUAUGAAAAGCUCCAGAAAAAGCAACUUAGAGAAAACAAGCUCUGCAUUAGAAGAAAACUCAAGAACUACCAUCAGUAUCCUCAUAGAAUACUGAUGAUGUAUCAAUGAAAAAAGUACAGGAUGCUCUAAAAAAAAGAGCUCUUGGAGAUUAAAGAAAAGGAAAAUAAGAAGAAAAGAAAAUAGACACAGAGGACCAGUCCAAGGGGUCUAACAUCUGACUUUAGGAUUUUUAGAGAGAGCAGAGAAAACAGGAAAAAUUAUAUCAAAAAAGGAAAAUUUCCCAGAAUUGAAGGACACAACCUCAUGAUCAAAAGGGCUCACCAAAUAUCUAGCACAAUAAGUAUCAAAAGAUGCACAUCGAGAUACAUCGUGAAAUUUUAGAACAUUGGGGAUAAAGAGAAAAUCUUAAGAGUGUCCAGGUCCAACACACGGGAACAAGAAUCAGAAUAGCAUCAGUCUUCUUAAGAACAAUAUUGGAAAGUAGAAGAGAAUGGAGAAGUGCCUUCAAAAUUCUUAGGGAGAAUGGUUUCCAAACUCAACCAUCAAUCAAUAUAAAGGUAGAAUGAAGACAUUUUUCAGACAUAUAAGGUGUCAAAAAUUUUGUCUUCCAUGCACCUUUUCUCAGGAAGCUCCUGGAAGAUGUGCUCCAUCAAAAGAGAGCCAAGAAAGGAGAGGACAUAGCAUCUGUGCAACAGGAGAUCCAACACAGGAGAGAGAUGAAAGGAAUCCAAAGUGAUGACGAAAGGAGAUUAUAAGACCAUAUUUAUUCAUCAGGCCUAAACAGUAAUCAGUCCAGACUGGAGAGGUCAGAAAUCUCCAGGAGAAAUGUUUUCAAGAUGAAACUGAAAGACUACCUGAUGGAUCUGAAUAUAUUGGGAGAUGAAGACAACUGGCAAAGAGUCUGGGGUUGAAUUUAUAAUCUAAAUUUUAAAGUAAUAAAAUUUACAUUAGGAGCAUAAUAAAUUAGGCAUGGGAAGGUUUUGUGUGUGGUGAGGGUAGAGGGUGAGGUGAAAGAAAGCUAAAUCCUCAUCUGCCAGGAUGGACAGUCAAUAUAUAAUGCUUAAAAUGGAAAAAUGAAAGAAAUAUAAGCAAUGUUAUUUAGAGACAUGAGGCAAAUAAGAAUCAGCUAAAAUAAAGUGGUUGCCUCUGGGGAGCAGAAGCUGAUGGUAAAGGUGGGAGACUUUUUCAAAAUGCCUAUAGAACUACUUGAUUCUAUAAACUAUUGGCAUAUAUAACUGAUAAAAAUCACAAAACACAUACCAAAGACCAAACCAAACCCAUUGCCAUCAAGUCAAUUCCGACUAUUAGCAACUCUGUAGGACAAAGUAGAACUUCCCCAUAGGGUUGCCAAGGCUGUAAAUCUUCACUGAAGCAGACUGUCACAUCUUGUGGAAUGGCUGGUGUGUUUGAACCGCUGACCUUUUGGUUAGCAGCUGAGCACGUAACCACAGUGCCACAAGGGCUCCUUACAAAACACAUACACAAAGGUCUAUAAAUGCCUCUCUCGGCACAAUAAGAAAAUGAUACUUUUUUUUCCUCCUUCAGUGGGACAAGGAAGCAGAAUGGCAUCCUGGCCCUUCUUUUGAGACUUCAGUUUUAUUCUUCAGUAAACUGUUCUGAAGCAUUUUUGCUGCCUGCCUUUCCUUAUCUCUUCUUUUCCCCUUACUCUGCAGGUGGGAGACAAACCUGGGAUUUAGAGUCAGAAAAUUAGGCUUCAAGUCCCAGCUCUAUCUUUUAGAAACUGUGGGACCUUGGGCAAACUAAGUUCCCUGGGCCCAUUUUCUCCUCUGCAAAAAGAUUAAGAUUGAUAUGAGGAACAAGUUAAGCAGCAUACGAAAAAGCUCCAUACAAAAGUUAUCGUCCCAUGUGUGUAUUUUUAAAGAAGGGAAGAGCAAUUCUGAUUUAUUCAUGUAUUCGACAAAUAUUUAUGGGGUACCCACUAUUCUAGGCAAUUCUAGGAUAGGUCAGUGGCAGGGGGUGGGAGGAGUGGCAGGUUGCAGCAGAUCUCAUUGAAAAUGUGCUCUUUGAGCAAAGACUUGAAGGUGAGGAAAUGAGCCAAGCAGAUAUCUAGAGAAAUGUGUUCUGGGCAGUGGAGACAGCUUGAGCAAGAGCCAGUGUAGCUGUAGUGGAGUAAGAGGGAGAGAACGGCUUUUCACUCAGUGAAAUAGGGAGCCACUGGAGAAUGGUUUUGAGCAGAAGGAUCACAGAAUCUGACUUGUUUUAAGAGGAUCACUCUGGCUGCUGUGUUGAGAGUAGAUUUUAGGGUCUGGAGAGGCAAACUGUUAGGUUUUAUAGUAAUACAGGUGAGACAGAAUGAUGGUAGCAGUAGUUGGGUUAUAGAUAUAUAUUAUGGUAGGGCCAAAGGGAUUUCCUAAGGCAAAGAAUGUGGGAGUGUGAGAGAAAGAGAGGAGUCAAGAAUAACACCAAUGCUGGAAGAGAAUAUAAUACUUUUUACUCUCUCCCUUAAACCACGUUGACGUCCUCAUUUAGUCUUUUAGCCAGAUACUAAAUUUUUUUUGUCCUAGUGGGAAUGUAACCAAUUCGCUCCCAAACGAUUUCCAGUCAGUAAUGUAGAAUGUCAAAAAACAAAGAAGAUUACCAGUCUACCUGCAAAAGCAGUUAAGUAAACAUUAUGGGUCCUCAACUUGAAUAAACUCUAAAAAUUUAUAUCAAAGGCUGGGGCACCAACCCAUCCUUGGUUUGAAAAUAAAACAAUACAUAAAAAUGAUUUCUUACUCUGUGGGAAUAUACUGCACCUAUAUC